rnacentral:lncRNA from 1 species
UGGCAAAAUUGGAAACCAAUACAAAUAUAAGUUAAAGCCACAAAACCGCUUCUAAAAUAACCGUUGAAUUCAUUUAGGGUUGGCCAUUUACUGCUGGGCAAUGUGCCUGCCUUGUGAGUUGUUUGUAGCUUGUUUCUUCCUCUCUUUCUAUGUUUCUUUCUUUACUUCUUUCUUUCUUUCUUUCUUUCUUUCUUUCUUUCUUAUUAGAUAUUUUCUUUAUAUACAUUUUAAAUGCUAUCCUGAAAGUUCCCUAUACCCUACCUCUGCCCUGCUCCCCUACCCACCCACUCCCGCUUCUUGGCCCU